GGCGGCACGCUAACACAUGCAAGUCGAACGGAGUUUGGAGCUUGCUCCAAACUAGUGGCGGACGGGUGAGUAACACGUGAGCAACCUACCUCUGAGAGCGGAAUAGCUUCUGGAAACGGAUGGUAAUACCGCAUGACAUUGUGAAGCCGCAUGACUUUACAAUCAAAUGAAUUUCGCUCAGAGAUGGGCUCGCGCCUGAUUAGCUAGAUGGUGAGGUAACGGCCCACCAUGGCGACGAUCAGUAGCCGGACUGAGAGGUUGAACGGCCACAUUGGGACUGAGACACGGCCCAGACUCCUACGGGAGGCAGCAGUGGGGAAUAUUGCACAAUGGGCGAAAGCCUGAUGCAGCGAUGCCGCGUGGAGGAAGAAGGUUUUCGGAUUGUAAACUCCUUUUUUCAGGGACGAUAAUGACGGUACCUGAAGAAGAGGCUCCGGCUAACUACGUGCCAGCCGCGGC
rnacentral:rRNA from 1 species